AUAUCUUUCUUAGCAUUUUCGCUAAGAUCAAGUGUAGUAUUUGUUCUUAUCAGUUUAAUAUAUCAUAUGAUAUGUAGGGUAUUGGUCCACACAAUAUUAACUCAAUUUAGGGUAAAAAUCCAUUAAGAUAACUUGCUACUUGAGCUUUGAAAAUCGCAUGUGUUGCACUAUUUUAUGGACCUAGUUCAACCCAU